rnacentral:lncRNA from 1 species
AGCAUCUGCAGGAACAUGCAUAAACCCUGCAAAUAAAAGCCCUGCAAUGUGUAGAGGUGCUCAUAUAAAAGAGAGCAACUUCUGCUCUUGUUAACUCUGAACUAUGUAAGUCAGAACAUCAGCCUCUUGAACUAUUGUUAAAGAUCUCAAGACUGUUGUUGAAGCUCUCUCUUGUGUCCAGUUCUAGGGCCCCCAGUGCGAGAAGGACAUGGAGCUGUUGGAGUGGGUCCAGAGGAGGGCUACGAAGGAGAAGCUCAAUCAAGUUAUCCUCUCAUCUGUGUCUGCAAGAAAUGGGUAAUUUUGGUGCAGAGGUUCUUUCAGGAGACUAUGAUGAGGCUGACGUGUGAAGUGAGCCAUGGGAACAGAGGAAAAUUCCUGCAACUCCUGGGCUGUGGGAUCCAUCAUCUCCUUGCAUGUCUUGGUCCACAGUUGUAGGUCCUAACAGGAAGUUCCAUCUGUUUCACAUGAAGUUGGCAUAAAAUAC